rnacentral:snRNA from 1 species
UUUAGUCACUUUCACUGCAU